CUCUAGCUGUUUUACGCCUUAUCUGGCGGUGCCGCCGUGCUGGAGGAGCACCGCUCCGUUAGGCCUCGGCCUACACAAGGACGCAGCCCCGGCUCUAGCGGAGCUCAGUGCCCCGCAGCCCCCGGGAGCAGAGCCAGGGCUGCCGGGGAAGGAGCAGAACGCGGAGCCACAGUGCCACCUCGUGCUGCCUGCCAGAAGGUCCCUGCCAGGAGGCGCAGGGAGUCACCACCACACGUCCCCACUCGUGAUUUUCCCACCCAGCCCGCAGCUCUGUCGUUGGCACAGCUGUGAGACGAGCGAGAACGGGCACCCCGCUGGGGCGCAGUUUGUUCCCGGCUCCUCACAUCCCCUCACGCAGCCGCCCAGGCCUGGGCUGCACAGCAAACACCGCACUGCCCCCACGGACACGGGGCCGUACCCCCUCACAGGCAGCGGAGGGGAGAAAUCCGCUUCACAAAUUACCUGGAGCGCCGAAUGCCCCUUCUUAUCAAGGCUGGACGGGUAUUCAAUUUUCUCUUCAAACGCCUGCCUUCUGAAAUGGCUCAGCUACCCAGGCUGAUGAUGAGGGCAACCACAGCAACAAAACUACUCAUGGGAGCUGUGCAGCACCAAAGGAAAGGGACAGAGCUGUGGGGUGGGCAGCUGAGCCCCAAUCCCCACACUCGGGGUCGCCAAGAAGUCUGCAGACAUUCAUCACUGAAACUCAACCUAGCAUGGCAGGACAGAGCAGUUUCCAACCUUAGUGCUGCAUGAUGAACUGAUUUCUGUCCUCAGAGACUGCGGGUUAGGCAAGGCAAUACUGAAGUAGGAUGAUGCACAAGAGGUAUAUUUUCAGCUAAUAAUCAAGCAGUCCCUCAUCUGGAGGUGCUGCAUGGCCUCAGAGUGCCACUUUGUCCUUGUUGGGCUGCAAAACAGCCGCAGUGCACCUGGCCAACAUUAACUGGAGAUGUUACAUUUAUGAUUUUAUGGCUGAUAUUUUCCUCUACCCUCUAUCAAUUGAGUUCACUGUCUGAACGAUCGCAUCUGUUUAUGUUCCACAGACACCUGCGUAUCUUGAGAUGACAGCAACUCCCUGAAUACUGUAAUCAGUUAUUUCUCAACAGAGGAAUUGCCAAUUUGGUAAAUAAAGCUCAUUAUAAAAGAGCGUGGAAAUGUAUUACGGUUGCCUAACAGAAAAAAAUUGUCCAGUGCUGCCUGAUAAUCAGCCCUGGCAUCAUAGUCCCCCCCAAUUUAGGGCAGCUGAAAUAAUGACAUGCAAAUUACUUAUGCCAAGGCUACAUUAAUUGGGGGCAAGAGGAAAAUGAAGAAGAGACAAAAUAGGUAUUUUUCCUCUUUAGACCAACAACUAUUUAAAAUCUAGUCAGUGACAGGCCUUGCUUCUUCAUACCUCCACAUGCAGCAUCAGGAGUCCUGCAGUUCUGCAGAACCCAGCUAUCACAAGCAGAUCCAGAAGCCAGCAUGGCAGUCCCAGCAGAAGCCC
ensembl:lncRNA